rnacentral:rRNA from 1 species
AACGCGAAGAACCUUACCUACCCUUGACAUCCCUGGAACCUGGUAGAGAUACUGGGGUGCCGAAAGGCACCAGGAGACAGGUGCUGCAUGGCUGUCGUCAGCUCGUGUUGUGAGAUGUUGGGUUAAGUCCCGUAACGAGCGCAACCCUUAUCCUUAGUUGCCAACACGUAAUGGUGGGGACUCUAAGGAGACUGCUGGUGAUGAACCGGAGGAAGGCGGGGACGACGUCAAGUCAUCAUGGCCUUUAUGGGUAGGGCUACACACGUGCUACAAUGGUCAGUACAGAGGGUAGCGAAACUGCGAAGUGGAGCCAAUCCCAAAAAGCUGAUCGUAGUCCGGAUUGAAGUCUGCAACUCGACUUCAUGAAGUCGGAAUCGCUAGUAAUCGCGAAUCAGAAUGUCGCGGUGAAUACGUUCCCGGGCCUUGUACACACCGGAGUGC